rnacentral:rRNA from 1 species
UACGGGGGGGGGCAAGCGUUGUUCGGAAUUACUGGGCGUAAAGAGCUCGUAGGCGGUUUGUCGCGUCUGCCGUGAAAGUCCGGGGCUCAACUCCGGAUCUGCGGUGGGUACGGGCAGACUAGAGUGAUGUAGGGGAGACUGGAAUUCCUGGUGUAGCGGUGAAAUGCGCAGAUAUCAGGAGGAACACCGGUGGCGAAGGCGGUUCUCUGGGCAUUACCUGACGCUGAGGAGCGAAAGUGUGGGGAGCGAACAGG